UUCCUUGAUCAAAUAUGCAUGAAACAGAUGUUUAAACAUGGAAUAGAACACAAUUGUCUGUGAUCAACGAGUUUGGAACAGGAUUUGAGAUGAUUUAGGGAUUGAGAAUUUUUUUCAAUUUGGUUUUUUUUUUAUCACAAUUCGAUUUCGACUUUCAUUUUCAUGUUGGUUUGAGUUCUUAAUUGAUUAUAACCAUGUUGAGAGCAAUGAUUCUAUUUUGUAGAGAAUGAAGCGCACGAAAACAUCAGCAAAGAAGAACACACAAGAAGAGGGUUCGUCUCAGCGAGAGAAGCAAAGGCC
rnacentral:lncRNA from 1 species